UUUUUGUUAAAUGUGUUUUGGCAUCUUCAGAGGUUCCCACGCUGUCUGGCUGGAACCUCUCCACGGCAUGGGGCCUCUCUCCCCACCAGCAGGCACGUGGUAGAGGAUCCGGGACUCCCGAGAACCUUUGCAAACACAUGCUCUUCGUCACUGCUCCUCGUCGCCACGAUAACCGCUCUGCUCUUCAUGGCUGUUCGUCUGCACUGUUUCGGCCAUGCCCAGGGCAUGGGGAAGUUCCCAGGCUGGGGCCGGAACCCGCCCCACAGCAGUGACAAUGCCGGAUUCUUAACCCAGUUGGGCCACGAGGCAGCUUCGACACAGAUUUUACCUAAUCCUUAAACUCUCUGUGUUCAACCACUUCCCUUUACGACUCACUCCAUCAUCUCUUCCUCCAGGCUGCUUCCCUCUGCAUCAGUUUCUGCUCCUGUUUGUCUUCCUAGACAAGGUCUUCAAAUUUCUUUCUUUCUGAUUCUAACCCUAAGUCAUUUUCACAGGUCUUCUGUCUUUUGCAUUUCAAGGCAUUUCCCUUUGCCCCUCAUUCUGAGGUACCUUUUUGAGACUCUGUGGUGGGGACAGUUUCUGUUGGUUUAUCCUCAAAUCAGAAGAGCUGUAGUCUAGACCCGAGUGUUGCCCAAAGACUGCGUGCCCUUGCCCCCCACCCCCAUUUCCGUCCCCUGCAGGAGCCAGCGCUCUGGCAGCUGACAUGCCAGCCCCGAGCCAAACGCCCCACAUCCAGCAGGCUCGCACCUGGCACAGGGCUGCCAGACGGAGGCAGACUCGCUUCCCAACUGCACAGCAAACAGAACACAAAAGUGGCUGCUCUCAUACAAUAUACAUGCUCUGGAAGAAUCUCACACUCUGAAACGUGCAUCCUAAAACCGCCUGGGCCCAUGAAUAAAAAAGGCUGGAGCAGACUGUUCAAAACUGCAAUUUAAUAACCCGGGUACCAUAAAAAUCAAUAGUCACUCUAAAUUAAAAAUUACCAUAGUUGUAAAAAAAAAAAAAAAAAAAAAGGAGACCAAGUAGAAGUUCCCAUGUGACUUAGCAGGUUAAGGAUCUGGCGUUGCUGCAGCUGUGGCGCAGGCUGCAACCUUGGUACGGGUUUGAUCCUUGGCCCAGGAACUUUUGGCCAUGGUUGCAGCCAAAAAAAAGAAAAGAAAAAAGUAAAAUUCCUAAUAAAUAAAAAGUCCAGCAAACGUAGAACUUUAACUUUACACAAGGUGGCAACCCUUUGAUGAGAAAGGUUCAAAGAAGGAGUGGAAAGCUUUGGAGCUAGAGAAUCAAGAACAAAAUAUACAAAGAUGGAGAAAAACAUGCAAUGAACACUUUCGAGAAGAGUACGUGGCCAAAAGGAGCACGAAGCCGAGCCAAGGUGGGGGGUGACCACGGGUCACCACGCCCAGUCUGGGAGUGUCUGUAGCCUUCAAGACCCGUUCCUUGACGGCAGAAAGCAUCAGUGAACCAGGGACCGUCGCGUCCAACCAGCCCAGCUGCUGGGCUCACUGAUGUCUCUCCCGCACAGGGCACGGGCCGCGGGGCAUGGAAACGUGUGUCCUUCCAGGGCGAAGGGAUAUGAAAGCGCAGGUGCGCUGCCUACUGCGGCCCGAAGAAGGACCACAGACCAGGCGGCUUAAAAGAGCAGCAAGGUGUGUUCACGGAUCUGGAGGCUGGGCCGUCUCAGACAUCUGAGAUACGGGGGUCAUGAGGCCGUCCUCCCUGCCUGGCCUCUCCAGCCUUGCGGGGGGGGGGGGGGGGCAGGUCAGGGGGCCCUGGCGUCCGGGACCCUCCUCAGCUGCAGCUGCAGGACCAAACCCUGACUUGGUCACCACUCGCCUCUGCCUCACGGGCCGCCUCCUCAGAAGGAUGCUCACACUGCCCCAGGGGCUCAACCGGCCUCCGGAUGACUUCAUCUGAACCAACACGUCUGCGACAACCCUGUCUCCAAAGCAGGUCACGGCCCGCAGCACAGGGGUGAGGACGUCAGGGCAGCCCUCCUGGGGAACACGACCCACCCCAACACCCAGGCCUCUUCCUGAUGCUCCCCCAGCAGCCUCGCCAGCCCUGGGAGAGCCCGGACGGUGCCAAGGGGAAACGUGCCCUCAUCAUUUCACAAUCCUCUCCAUCGUACCCGACCGCAUUCCACACAGCCCCACCCCGCCCCCCAACCCGGCAGCUCUCCAGGCCAACCAGGCAGAGAGGCCUGGAGUCUGGGAAGCAGGUCCAUGCAGCACAGGCACGGCUGUCCUGAGUUCUGGCCGGUCCGGAGGGUGACUACAGAGGGAAGGGGGCCCCCUCCCUGUUCUCAGCUGAACCCCCAGCUGACUCAUGUAGCCCAGUUCCUCCGACUUCAGCCAUGCCGAGUCUGUCGACAGACCCUGCACCCUGGGCCUCUGAGAGGAACCAGAGCCCUAACCAGAAAUUUCUGGUUAGCUGCUUACUGGCCUUCCAGCUAACAGCCGAGAGCAAAGCCACAAGAGCCAAGGCCACCUGCGUCCUGGGCUCCAGAUACGAAUCUCAGGCCAUAUUUUAAAAGGAACGUGAUCUUGAGUGAGCUACUGACCUCUCCCUGCCCCAUUUCCUCACCCAUGGGGAUGGGAUGACGAUGGAGAAACAGCAUUUGAACAUCACAGGGGGUGAUAAGGACUUAACGGUUAACCCAGGAUCACAGGGGGUGAUAAGGACUGAACAGGUUAACCCAGGAGGAGCCCCCCUCAGGGCUGGUACAUGGUAAACACACAAGUACUAGCUAUUGAUACUAUCCUCAUUCAUUUUAAGCCAAAAGCUUCUAACAAAGUUUUGACAAUUUCCCUGGGGACAAUGAGAAUUCUACCUCUAGUCAAAACAGAGUAACACAGACCAGAUUUACGCUUGCACGUGAAACAGCUCAGACAGACAAAAUACGUGUGACUAUGGCUUAGAGACACCGGACACCAUGCAGUGACCCUGGAGGAGGAAGGCACAUGAUCAACUGCCCAGUCAUCCCAGCUGACACUUCGGAGUUUCCAGGUGGCAGUGCAGGGAGGGCACAGAAAAUAUCUGACGAAAUAAUGGCUUAAAAUUUCCCAAAUUUGAUGGAAAGUAUAAACCCUCAGAUCCAAGAAGUUCAACAAACUCCAACACAGACAUGUGAUGAUUACGCCAGGGAACAACGUAAUCAAACUGCUUAAAAUCAGUCUCAAGGAAAGUCUUAAAAGCAACUGGGAAGAGGAAGGCACGGCACAGGCAGAAAAACACAAAUAGGAAUGACAGCAGAUUUCUGGGUGGAAAGGAUGAGAGCCAGAAGACAAUGGAGCAGUGCUUUUCAAAGGGAAGCACAGGGACACACACACUGCCAGCCUCGAACGCUGCACCCCGUGAAAGUGUCUUCAAACAAAGGUGAAAGAGAGAUGUCUUCAUAUAUUAAAAAGCUGCAAAUACGCACCAACCAGCAGAUCUGCACUAAAGGAAAUAUCAAAGGCGUCUUCCAGGCAGGAGGAAAAUCAUACAAGAUGGAAACACAGGUCUGCACAGAGGAGUGAAGAGCUUUAGAGAUGGACCCACACAGGCAAACAUAAGAGAUUCUUCGCUGAAUCGCUUUUAAAGAGAACUGUUUAAAUAAAACUAAUAAUGUAUUGAGACGUUGAUAUCACAUGCACUAGGAAAACAUGUCAAAAAUAGCAGAGACUGGGAGGGAGGAGGCGAAGUAAAAGGUCCAUGUUCUUCUAUUGGACAUGAAGUGGCAUAACUUUGACAACGGAGGGUGAUAAGCUGAAGAUGCAGAUGAUAAAUCCCAAAGCCCCCCCCCCAAAAAAAACAGGAACAAUUAUAAUUAACACUUUAUAAGGAAAACAGAUUCCAAUCAUAAAAAUGCGCAAUCCAAAAGAAGGCACAAAAAGGAAAAAAAGAACAAAAAAAGUGACGAAUGGAAAACAAAAAGCAAGGUGGCAGCUUCAAAUGGAAUCACAUCAAGGACCACAACGAAUGGUCUGAACACCCCGGUUCAAGGGCCUAGGUUGUCGGAAUGGACAAAAACGCAGGUCCCUGCCUCCAGAGUAAAAAGAGCCCUUGUGUGCGGUAGGACUGAAAUGAUUUACAGCAAAAAGGACGUCACUCUUUGUAAAACCCAUCUCCCCCGAGCAUCAUGGACCCAACCCCAUGCUGCCUACAAGGGAUGUGUUUUCAUCAUAGAGACCCAAGCAGGUUGAAAGUAAAAUACGGGGGAAGAUACAUCAUGCAAAUACUCAUCACGCUACCAUCCGACAGAGUGAACAUUAAAGAAAGAACAUCACCAGGGAGAAAGAGGCCAUUUCCUGGCGGUCCAGGGAUCAACCCAUCAAAAGGACUUAACAUGCCUAAACAUGCAGGCACCUGAGAGCAGAGCUUCAUACAUACAGCAAAAAAUAAUAACAGUUUAAGGAGAAAUGGACAAAUGUACAGUUGGAAAUUUCAACACCCUGCUCUUAGGAAGAGAUAGAGACCAAGGCAGAAAAUCAGUAAGAGCAGAGAAGCUGUGACACUCUCACCCAACCUGACCAAAACGAAUACUCUGCAAAGAGCAGAACACCUACUCUUCCCACAUCCUUUUUAAAUGCACACCGAGCAUUUACCAAGAAAGACCAUCCUUUGGGCCAACCGACAAGUCUCAGUGGUGUAAAAGGACUCAAGACAAGAUAGACAGAGUCUGUUCCGACUAAACUGAAAUGAGAAAGCAGGUAACAGAAAGAUAUCUGGAAAGUCCAAUAUUUGGAAAAGAAACAACACAGCGCAUGGGUCAGAAAAGCAAUUAAACGGACACUGCAAAGUGUGUUGAAAUGAAUGAAAGUGAGACACAACAUAUCAAAAGCAUCAAAUGCCUGUACUGGACAAGAAGGUCAAAGUCAAUGGCCUUCAGCGUCACCUAAGAAAAUAGAAAAAGAAUAAAUGGGAUCCAAAAUUAGCAGGAAAAAAAGGCACUAAUGAAAGCAGAAAUACAUG
rnacentral:lncRNA from 1 species